UACAAAAUAAUUAAAUAAUCAUGAAAAUUCAAGUUUUCAUUCAAAUUUGCAUAUUGAUGAUGCAUUCACUUAAUAAAUUAUGAUACAUUGCUCCCCCCUACACAAAAGUACAUGGUAGUAGUAAAAAGUAUCGGUAUCGGCAAUACUGGCCCUGUAUUUACUUGGUAUUGGAUCGAUACCAAAUUUUGCAGUAUCGCACAGCCCUAAUAAGAUGUGGCCAGGACUUUAGUUUAAAAUGUUCAAAAAAUGAAUCAACACUAUCAGCAGUGUCUAAAGGAGACGCAGUGAUGUCAUGAUCUCCCUGACCUGUCCCCUGUUGUAAUACCACUUUGUGACACUAGACGCUGUGUGAGUCAGUGGCGCGUCAAGUGUUCCCUCAGUCCCACGAAGAAGAACAACUUCCGGCAGCACUUGAAGUUAGCAUCACAGAAACACAGGAAUGGCUGAACCUCCUAAAUGGCGAUAUGUAUCUGUAUCCCGCAGGACCGCUCCCGACAAGAAACCACGUUCAACGGCGAAGAAAAGAAGCAACACGAGUAACUCUCGAUGUGGUUUUCCACCGCCGGAGACAGCUCCUGAGAGUAAAGAGAUGCAGUUUGAUGCUGAGCUCGCAACGUUCCUGUUAGCCCGGACCAGAAUUCCAGUGUAAUCAUCACCAAUGUUGGACCAGCACCUGCCUUUCCUUCUGCAUCUGGCCUCAUCAAUCAACAACCACAUUACAGUAACACCUUGAGCGCAUGAAACUCUAUGUUCAAUAAGGAAGAAGCUUUUGAAUCAUUAGUGACAAUUCCAGUCUGGCUGCACAGUAUGUGAUCAAGAAGUUGUGUAGAACUUACCGUCUACAGCAGUGAGCAGGGCUUCUUCUUGACCUUGGUGGGCUGGGGGCAGAGCACGGCGCGGAUGGCCUCAUCAAACACAGUCUUCAGACCACCCUGGGUCAAAGCCGAGCACUCCAGAUCCAGCUUGGGGCCAGACUGGGGCCCAUCAGGAUGAUGGGCGUGGAGGGGCAGUGGUGGGGAACCUCCGGGUACCACUGGUAGAGGACAAGCAAAGACAAACCAAAUGAAUGAAGAGAGAGGGAGGAAGACACAAAGUGAAGUUCUCCAGGACGACGAUGUUCUCCACUGCGCAGAUAUGACAGAUCGUUGACCGUAGCAGUAUCGACGUAAAAGGAUGUUUUCCAAAUCAGCCGUAUGAAAACUUUUUCUGUGGAAAAGGAGACGGGGUGGACGCAGCUGGAGGUGACUCUGGCAGUGCAGCUGUGGUGGGCACCAAAAUGUAUGGCGUCUAUAAGGCGUCUAAAGACUUUGCAUGUGUGGCUCCAGUUUUGUUCGUAAGAGUCUGUAAAUACAUUACCUGGAUCAAGAACACUAUUAAGUAGACUGAAACAACUAAACAUUCAUAAUAAAUAAAUGAUGAGAGUUCAGCUCUACAAUGAA